UACAGAGGUCUCAAGCGUUUGUUCGGAUUCAUUGGGCGUAAAGGGUGUGUAGGUGGCGCCGUAAGUCGGGUGUGAAAUUUCGGAGCUUAACUCCGAAACUGCAUUCGAUACUGCGGUGCUUGAGGACUGGAGAGGAGACUGGAAUUCAUGGUGUAGCAGUGAAAUGCGUAGAGAUCAUGAGGAAGACCAGUGGCGAAGGCGGCUUCCUGGACCAGCACCGACGUUCAGGCACGAAAGCGUGGGGAGCAAACAGGG
rnacentral:rRNA from 1 species